rnacentral:lncRNA from 1 species
GAAUAUAGUGUAGGAUAUGAUGGAAAGACGGUUGCGAAAUUUGGAGAAAGCACCUUCUAAUCUUCAAGAAUUCGAAGCAACGUUGAACCGAAUAUGGAAUAAAAUAGACAAGGAAUAAAAUUGCCCAAAGCAAUUACAGCUUGCAUCAAUCUGUUUCAGCGUCUACGAGAGGUGAUUCAAGGAUGAGAAAUCAUUCUAUUGUUCUCAACUACUAAAUUACAUUAUGCGACGAACAUCUGCCGUAUCGAAAAGGAUAUAAACUUUGUAUCAAGGAUUGUGCUUGUCGUUCAUAUUUGCCUGGAUAAUAAAA